UGAUAGUGCAGCAAGGUCCAGUGAUUGGCUCUGGAGCAGAAGAAAGGUGUGUGAAUCGGGUAACAAAUGGCUGCUUGCAGAGACAGGAGGAAGGUGUGGCUAACGGCCUGCAGAGAGGAAGGCAAAGGAAGAAAGGGGGGAAAAAAACAAUCUGAACACACAAUUGUGUGAGAUUGGGGUAUGCACAACACAAAACUGGUGUCUCACACCCUGCUGAGGAGCUCAGUUGUCUCAGGUGGAGGGAAGAAAGAGAGAGUGAGAA